ensembl:snoRNA
CUGGAGACUAAUGAGACAGAGUCCGUGCCGUCAAGCUGACUCCACCCUUAGCCUCCUACAUGAAAAGGUAGAUAGAACAGGUCUUGGUGCAAGAUAAAUUCAAGACCUACUUCUCUGCCAACAGCC